GCUGGACAUGGUGGUGCAUGCCUGUAAUCCCAGCAGCUUGGGAGGCUGAGACAGGAGAAUCACAAGUUCAAAGCCAGCCUUAGCAAUGGCAAGGUGCUAAGCAACUCAGUGACGCCCUGUCUCCA
rnacentral:sRNA from 1 species